rnacentral:lncRNA from 1 species
UGGAGGACUGAAUUUAGGACACAAUCAAGUUCAUGAUGGAAGCCCUGUAUUCUUACAGGAUGAUAUUCAUAAACUAUUCGACCUUAGCUUCCCUCCACUUAAGCCUUUCUUGCUCAGAAUCACUCCUUUUAUUAGUUAUCUGUUGAUGCUUAACAUAUUACCUCCAAAACUUAGUGGAUUAAAACAACAAACAUUCAUUAUGCCAACUUCU